GACAGGAAAUAUCAAGGUAGUGUGCGCCUGCACCAUUUCCACGUCAGUAAGUUUGCCUGUGGAGGAGAUUAGCAACCGGUGACAGAAUAUCUGUCUAGUGCUAUUGCAGGAAAGCAGCAGGGCAUGACAACACUACGCGGAACUGUCUAAAAUAUUCACUAUGGUGGACAAGAGUAUAUACAUCGUUCAAGGGGAGAUUUCUGUUGUCGUUGCUGCUAUCAAGAGGAACUCUAGAUGGAGUACCCAUACUCCUUUGGAUGAAGAACAGGACCCACUACUCAACAGCUUCAGCCACUUGAAAGAGACCCUCAAUAACAUAAAAGGUUUUUCAGUUUGUAUUUAUGUUCCGCGUGGAAUCACCGAUACCGUGACGCGAGCACCGCCCCAACUGCACAAAACGCCCCCAUCAUGAGAGAAAGCUGCAGCCGCGCGAAGGCUCUUCACAGAGGACGCAGCAAGCGGCAAAACUGAGGCGGCGCCCGUGCCCUCGGUCCCGCGGUGGACGUUAAAAGCCCAAAUGACGCCACACUUCAGCUUUGUACACUGACACGGGAACUGGAACAAUUUUCAUCCUCCAUUACUAGCAGCGAACCAUAUUAACGGUAACAUUAGUGGCGUGCCCUAAUGCUUGUAUUUCCUGUCACUGUUUAAGUUCUGAGAUGAAGACUGCUAUUUAGUGGUCGGGAUAUAAACUCAAAAUGAAACCACUGCCAUGA